ensembl:piRNA 21ur-3030 ncRNA
UUAUGACAUUCCUUGUAGAAA